GAGGAAUAUUGGUCAAUGGACGGAAGUCUGAACCAGCCAAGUAGCGUGCAGGAUGACGGCCCUAUGGGUUGUAAACUGCUUUUGUAUGGGGAUAAAGUUAGGGACGUGUCCCUAUUUGCAGGUACCAUACGAAUAAGGACCGGCUAAUUCCGUGCCAGCAGCCGCGGUAAUACGGAAGGUCCAGGCGUUAUCCGGAUUUAUUGGGUUUAAAGGGAGCGUAGGCUGGAGAUUAAGUGUGUUGUGAAAUGUAGACGCUCAACGUCUGAAUUGCAGCGCAUACUGGUUUCCUUGAGUACGCACAACGUUGGCGGAAUUCGUCGUGUAGCGGUGAAAUGCUUAGAUAUGACGAAGAACUCCGAUUGCGAAGGCAGCUGACGGGAGCGCAACUGACGCUUAAGCUCGAAGGUGCGGGUAUCAAACGGGAUUAGAUACCCUGGUAGUCCGCACAGUAAACGAUGGAUGCCCGCUGUUGGUACCUGGUAUCAGCGGCUAAGCGAAAGCAUUAAGCAUCCCACCUGGGGAGUACGCCGGCAACGGUG
rnacentral:rRNA from 1 species